UACGAAGGGGGCAAGCGUUGUUCGGACUUCCUGGGCGUAAAGGGCGCGUAGGCGGCUUAUCAAGUCAGGCGUGAAAUUCCCGGGCUCAACCUGGGGGCUGCGCUUGAUACUGAUGAGCUUGAAUGCGGGAGAGGAUAGUGGAAUUCCCAGUGUAGAGGUGAAAUUCGUAGAUAUUGGGAAGAACACCGGGGGCGAAGGCGGCUAUCUGGCCCGUAAUUGACGCUGAGGCGCGAAAGCGUGGGGAGCAAACAGG
rnacentral:rRNA from 1 species